AAAUGUUCCUAACUUACUAUGAGACUUACUUCAUGAAACUACAACUUCCUGGGACGCGUUUUUUUUUUCUUUCUUGGUGACUGCCAUAUUCAUUAGUGUCUUUAUUUAUUUAUUUUUUUGACACAGUACCAUGGUCGUGUCUUGCGUGUAAUUGGCUGAUGACUUAAAGAUGAGAUAAUUAACCCCUGGUCUCAAGAGGGUUCUAUUUAAGGAAGGAGAUAAGAAAGUACAUGUUAAGUGCCAAAUUAAUAUCACCGUAGAACCAACCAUAAGAUUUCAGAGUAAUGCUUAUCCGUGACAGUUGUGAGGACGAAACUCAGACCCUGCAGGACAGGGUGGACAUGGAGUAGCUCAGAGGAAGCCCAGCAGGGACAGUUUCAUGAUUUGGGGAAAGGCCACUCCCAAGGCACAGAGACCAUGAGGUAAAAGGCCAGAGAAAGGAGCAGGAGCACGGUGCACAGGGCCCGGGCGCAUG
rnacentral:lncRNA from 1 species